GCCAAUGUGGACAGCCUAGGAGGUCCUCAUCAAGUUGCAGUACAUUCAUUAAAAAAAGAAAUGGAGUAAGCUGUACUUACUGUAUUCUGCUACCUGUAAAAAUGGGGAAUCUUCAGAAGCACAUAAUGACAUGGUCAACAUCAUGGAAGUUCAUGGAGUAUGCCCGUGGCCAGACAAAUCUUCAUCUCUUGGAGGUUGCAAGGAGAGACUGAUCGAAAAUGACAGUGACUGGACAGACAAUGAUGAUGGUGAAGAACUAUAGAAAACUGGAAAACUUUUAAUAGUGGCCAUCAACAAGCAGUCAUUGAUCCAGUAUUCCAGCCAAUGUAUCCCUCUCCCCACAAGAAGCAAUACCAGGAAAUAUGUGACAUUCAUCAGCCAGGUAGUCAUUUACCCCAAGUGGCAAAGUUAGCUACAGCCUGACAGCAAAAUACCCAUUCUUGGAAAAGGAGUGGAUUGUUUUGUGCUGCAGACACUGCAGUAUGGUGGAUUUGACAGUUUAACUUCUCGCACCUUCUAUAUGACUAAGGUGUAUAAUACAGUAGGAAAGUUGUCAAGAGUGUCGUUAGCCAUUGGACAUGUGGUACAUACAAUUAGUGGUGGAGAAAUGGACCUGGUUAUCCGUUGGACAUGUGGUACAUACAAUUAGUGGUGGAGAAAUGGACCUGGUUAGCUGUUGGACAUGUGGUACAUACAAUUAGUGGUGGAGAAAUGGACCUGGUUAGCCAUUGGACAUGUGAUACAUACAAUUAGUGGUAGAGAAAUGGACCUGGUCAGCCAUUGGACAUGUGGUACAUACAUUUAGUGGUGGAGAAAUGGACCUGGUCAGACAGUUGGACAAUAAAUGUGUAUGAAACGAUCACCAUGGUGCUUGUCUAUUGGAAAGGGUUAACUUUAAAGCAGGACUUGCACUGUCAUGUGAGGGGAAAAACAUGAAAUGGAGACGAUCACUUACCAGCGCACACAGUUGACUAUAGAAGUCAGGAAUCAGCCAAAAAGAAUGUUGAUACUGAUACAACUUCCUCAUAGCAACUUCAGUCCUACAGAUUUAUAAGGGGAGGCAACAAUUAUUACUGUUGACCUAGAAACCAUUGACCUAAUUCAAUAUGGGAAGAUGCCACAUGUCACACAAAGCCGCAUACUACAACAAAUCGCUGUAUCACAGAUAUCUAUGUCACACCUUAAAAGGAAAUUUCACCAUAGGCACAAAGGGUCGCUAGGAUUGCAUGGAGUAUUCAGACAUGAUGACAAUAAAAAGCACAAUAGUCCAACACAUCUGUACCUGGAAUUAAGUCGACUGUAGAGAAAUUGUAUUCUUGGCUUGAAAAGAUCCUAAAGUGAUUUUGUUAGCCCAUUAUGGAAGACAAUUUGAUUUUCCAGUUCUUUUCUCAGCUCUACUGUGCACAGAAAUAACUAGGACAUUAUUCAGCUGAUUUUCUUCUAAAAAGUAUUCUUAUACUGGUGUUCAAGAAACUGUACCCUAAACAGUCGUACUUGCUAUGACACUACUUGGUAUCCGGUACCAUGCCUAUAACUGACAGACAGACAAAUUUACUAUGAAAAACUGGGAAGGCCUGCCAAGGGUUUUUAUAUGUUGAAAAUAUUUUGCAAGCAAUGAUGUACACUCAUGAUAAAUUUGGUACCAAAAUGUUCAAUAUCUUAAGUAGAAAAUGACAAUUGUAAUUGGAAGUUUGAAUUGUGUUAUUUUACGCUAUAUUUAAGAAAAUUAAUAUAUUUAAACUUGUAAAUUUUAUCAUUCGUUAAAAUGUUAUAUUAUAGUUUUAAGCCUUAAUGCCCUCUUUUUACAAUCUGCCUAAAGAAACACUUUAGUUAUUCUUGUUUAUUAUUUAGCCAUUUCCUUGAUUAAAAAUACACAACAAAAUUCAAGCUCAAGACUUUCCAAGGUUGACAAGUUAUUACUUUCUUUGAUUUUGCUUAAGUUUGUUAAUUAUUGUUAAGUACUUUUGUUCAGAAUUUAUAAAGGUGUAUAAUGUUAUCUUUUAAUAGUAAAGUAAGGAGAAGACAACCUUUACUGUAAGCUAAUAUAGCUUUCUGUCCAGUGCCUGAAACAUUUUUUUGUAAAUAUUUCAUGACUUCCUGAAUAAAGAUGUAUAAUUUAAAACUAUAAGUAAAGUAUAUAAACCCCAAACUUUUAAGGAGCUAGAAGACAAAAUUUCAUUUCAGCUUGUGUAUAAAAUUAACUUUGUGAUAUUUUUCUUAGUGAUAAGUUUCUCAGUGAUAACUAGACAUUUAAUUUUAUAUCUGUAUAGAUUUUUGUACAGUUAAUUCAGGUGUAUACAAGACAAUAUUUAUAAGGAUUUUUUUUAUGUUUUAAGCUACCUAAUUAUUUAUAUAAGAGAAAACUGUUAAAUUUUAAUUACUUCAUAAGUGUACAUGUAAAUCCUGUUUCACUAUACAGUGCAACCUCUGAAGAGCAACACCCUUUUGGGGAUACAAAUAUUGACUGUUGUGUAGAGGUUGUUGUCUUGAGAGGUAAAUUUGAUAAUAUAUUUCAGCUUAGGGAAAUUUUGAUGAUGUUGUUAUAGAGAGGUUUUUGCUCUGAGGACCGCUCUGAAGAGGUUGUACUGUACUUACAUAUUAUUGAGAGCUAAGGGACUCCAUUAGAAAUAGGUGAUAUUGUUACUUUGAUGGUUUAUCCCAGGCGAAAGAUCGUCAUUUUUUCCUGAUAUUUAUGUAUUAGCUUGAUUACACUUGUAAAGUACAAACAUAAAAGGGUUUACUGCAUAUUUAUUAAUUCUAAUAUUUUUGAUUUCUGUACCUACUUUGUAUUUUUGUUAUAAUUGGAUCUAAAUCUGAAUAAAAUUGAAUUGAAUUGAACUGAACUGAAUUCUAAACUGGAACAACUGAACUGAACUGAAUU
rnacentral:lncRNA from 1 species